rnacentral:tRNA from 1 species
GGGAGUGCAUGGGGCUCUGGUGUCCCCCCCGGACUUCAAAUCCGGUGUUUCCUGCCAAAAGUGGGAAGGGUGGGUUCGAUUCCCACACGCUCCCG